GACGAACGCUGGCGGCGUGCUUAACACAUGCAAGUCGAACGGAAAGGCCCUGCUUUUGUGGGGUGCUCGAGUGGCGAACGGGUGAGUAACACGUGAGUAACCUGCCCUUGACUUUGGGAUAACUUCAGGAAACUGGGGCUAAUACCGGAUAGGAGCUCCUGCUGCAUGGUGGGGGUUGGAAAGUUUCGGCGGUUGGGGAUGGACGCGCGGCUUAUCAGCUUGUUGGUGGGGUAGUGGCUUACCAAGGUUUUGACGGGUAGCCGGCCUGAGAGGGUGAGCGGACACAUUGGGACUGAGAUACGGCACAGACUCCUACGGGGGGCAGCAGUGGGGAAUAGUGCACAAUGGGCGGAAGCCAGAUGGAGCAGCGGCGCGUGCGGGAUGACGGCCUUCGGGGUGUAAACCGCUUUCGCCUGUGACGAAGCGUGAGUGACGGUAAUGGGUAAAGAAGCACCGGCUAACUACGUG
rnacentral:rRNA from 1 species